UGACGGGGCAAUCGAUAGUAUCACAUUUCCAGCCUGUGACGGAGCAAUCGAUGGUAUCACAUUUCCAGCCUGUGACGGGGCAAUCGAUGGUAUCACAUUUCCAGCCUGUGACGGGGCAAUCGAUAAUAUCACAUUUCCAGCCUGUGAUGGGGCAAUCAAUACUAACGAGAUAAGCCCAAAAUCCCUACUCAUUUAACCAAUUCACAUACACACAUCAAUUUCUUUUUCCAUCUUAUAUCCGGCCUAGACUAACCAUGGUCACAUUUCCGGCCUGUGACAGGGCAAUCAAUAUAACAUGGUUAGUCCAUACCACCAUAUUCAUAAAUUCAAUUAUGCAGGUAUAAGUUAUACACCUACAUACAUC
rnacentral:lncRNA from 1 species